rnacentral:rRNA from 1 species
CGGGAGGCAGCAGUGGGGAAUCUUGGACAAUGGGGGAAANCCUGAUCCAGCGACGCCGCGUGACCGAUGAAGGCCUUCGGGUCGUAAAGGUCUUUCAGCGGGGACAAUAAUGAUGGUACCCGCAGAAGCAGGAGCGGCUAACUACGUGCCAGCAGCCGCGGUAAUACGUAGGCUCCAAGCGUUGUUCGGAAUUACUGGGCGUAAAGCGAGUGUAGGCGGUCUGCCAAGUCGAUUGUGAAAUCUCCCGGCUCAACYGGGAGGGUGCGGUCGAAACUGACAGACUMGAGUUCGGGAGAGGAGAGUGGAAUUCCUGGUGUAGCGGUGAAAUGCGUAGAUAUCAGGAGGAACAUCGGUGGUGAAGACGGCUCUCUGGACCGAUACUGACGCUGAGACUCGAAAGCGUGGGGAGCAAACAGGAUUAGAUACCCUGGUAGUCCACGCCCUAAACGAUGCGUACUUGGUGUAGGCUCUUCACUGAGUCUGUGCCGAAGUUAACACGAUAAGUACGCCGCCUGGGGAGUACGGUCGCAAGGCUGAAACUCAAAUGAAUUGACGGAG